rnacentral:snRNA from 1 species
UUGUACCCUCUUCAGCACCACUAAAACUGGAGCAAUACAGAGAAGACUAGAACAGCUCCCGGGCAAGAAUAAUAUGCAAAUUUAUGAAGAUUUUAU